AUCAUUCUCUUUUUCCGUUUCUUUUCUCAACUCUUUCAAACUCCACGUAAUUCUGCGUUGUGAACACAUUCAUAUACCCAAAUCACAUUCCGGAGAUACAUAUGCAUAUUCACUCUGCGGAAUUCUACCGAAGAUACUCCGGGCUGCUGUCUUUCUUUGUACGGUGUCUUUAAUUUUCUAUUUUUCCGGUUUCAGGAAAGCUAGCCUACUCCACGCAUCCAAGGAAGCAGUCUUAUUACAGCAUGCUGGAUUCUUUAGCAAGCUGCAUUUCCUAACCCAUUAAUCUAUACUUGUUUCUUUGUGAGAAGUUAACAUUAUUAAUUAAUUAAGUGCUUUGGGAGUUAGGAUACAUCUUGAGUUGGAAAGUUACUUAAAGAGGUAACAAUGUGUGAAUCAGAAUCAGAUUCUGGGGCUAAUUUUUUUGAUGUGGAUGCCUUCUUUAGUUAUAACUAUGGAGGCCUUCAUAAAAGUUAUAACUAUGGAGAAAGUAGUGAGCUUGGCGCAAUCUGUUGUCAACCACCGUAUACUGAUGGUACAGUGUAUAGCAACACCAAUAAUUAUGAGGACAUUUCCCAUACUCUUCACGAAGAUCU